UGAUAUUCAAAUUGACUAGAAUUUAAAGUUAAUUGCCUAAAUUGUAAUCCAAAAUCCUAACCCUAAUCCUCAAAACCCUCCAUCCCAAUUUAAACUAAUAACCUGCCCAGGCCCAUCUAUUCACCAACAAUUAGCCCAUACAAUUUAAAAGACAAUAGUCCUUUCCCCUUUUUAAAAGAUUCGAUCCAGAAGCCCAAAAUUCCUUUACCCAGCCCAAUCUCCCUUAUUUCUCUCCCUUCUCCUCCAAAGCAGCAAAGCUGCGUACAAACAAGAACAAAUUCUCAACCAGCCACAACAUCGGCACCAACCCAUACCCGACCCAAACUCCGCGAAUCCAUGAAACUUCAACCCGAUAAUAUUACAAAACCCACCUCCUUUCCCUUCCUCGCUUCGAUUGUACUCCUCACGUGAUUGGCAUGUGAUUUUCGUACCAUGGGAAGUCCAGGAUUCCUCUAGAAAAUAUGUAGGUGUCCGUUCCAACGGCUAGAUGUUGAGAAUUUCGGGUUGAAUGGUAAAAAAAAGUACACACUUUCCCAAUUCUCAUUGGUGGGUGAGAGAAAUUUCAUUCCUUAACCUCUAUUGGUUGGCCUAUUUUGGAUUUCAUGAAGAAAAUCCAAAAUCUGCACAUUGGUGGAUGAGGGAUCUAAGCUGUAGAAGAAAUUUGAAUUUCAAAUUCCAAAUUUUUCUUCCUAAAAUACCCCAAUACUAUCUUCUAUAUAAGAGGCGAUGGGUCACUGUUUAGAGGGGUUGAAGAUUCUAGAGUUGAAAAUUAGGGUUGGGAAAAUUUUUGGGAAAAAGGGGAAAAUUCGGGUAGCUAAGAGUACUUUCUCAUGGUAAAAAUUUACUUUCUCAUGGUAAAAAUUUCUCUUUUCUUUCUUCUUUUAAAAGCGAGUUUGAAAUUUUGGGUCUGAAAAGAGGGGAAAAAUUCUCAAAAAGGCAGAAACACAAGAAAGGAAAUUUUGGUUCAGAAAAACCGAGAGAGAAGGAAGAAAGGAAAAGAAAGAAAUUUUUGGAGAAAAAUUAAGUCUUUAGUAGAAAUCCUGUUCUUGUUUUGAAAGUUCGUCAGCUAAAUUAGAGUCUCGAGUUGACGGUAAAGAAGUUUCUUAGGGGUCGUGAUCUCCGUACCACAUCGUUGUCUCAUUUUGCUGCACUUAAAAAGGUAAAUACACUCUAUGUUCCCUUUAAUUUGACCACUGUUCUUCUUCAUCUCUUUUUCUUCGUAACUGAUGUAGUCGUAACUGUUCUUCUUCAUCUUUUUUUCUUCGUAGCUAAUGUAGUUGUAGUAGUAAUCUUGUUCUGCUAGGAGUAGCUGAUGUAGUCGUAUUCGUGAUUUUGUAUGCUAGCUUUGGCUGCUGAUGUAGGAAAUGUUUGUCAUGUGAUUACGUUUGAUGUUAAACUCCUAGUUUAGCCGCUAAAAUUUUUAGUUUUCAGUCUUAUUUGCACGUCUUAAUUUCAUAAUUUGUUAUCUGAUUUCGACAUUGCUAAUUAGCUUCCAAUUUGCUGCUUUGUAUUGUAUAUUGCUAAUGAGUUGACUUACUGAUUUCCAUCGAGGUUCCUAUUUCAAUUUCUCGCUUCACUAGCUUGCUAAAUGUUGUUUUGUUUGAAUUAUUGUCUUUCUAUUUAGUUAGUAAUAUCACUAGCAGGACUACUUUGCGAGUUCCUUUGGCUUCUCAAAUUCCAAAGAGAAUGACCAAAAUAUUUCCAAUAAUGAAAUGUACUACAAAAUUCUAGGAUCCUUCGACGGCCAUUUCGUUUGAAUGAGAAGGAGGACCAUACUGAUAUGUUGACUCGUUCAUUAUUACUGUUUGACAGUCUUAGAUCAUUAUUUUCUGUUUAAACUGGCAGCACCACCAGCUGGCCUGCCUUGAGAGUUCCUUUGGCUUUUUCAAUGCCAAAGGGAAUAAUGAGAUAUGUCCAAAAGCGCACCCAAAAUCUUAUAAUUCUCCGAUGACCAUUUUGACUGUUAAAAAACUCAUUUUUUGAGUUUGUCGGAAAGAGGAGAAGGAUAAAAUAAUACGCCCUGCCAGCUCCUUUCUUUAAAAAAGGAAAUAUCCUGGUCGGGUUCCCUCUGUUGUGGAAUUGCAAAGUUUGAGUCUUUCAUUUCCCUUUUGAUUUCGAUUUAAGACGGUAUUUUGUUUGAUUGAUCCCCGAGGAAAUGCAAUGGCUUUAUUGUAAAAGAGAAUGGAUGAGGUCUCUUUGAUGUUGAAAAUCAUUACAUGGUGUGCAUUCUCUUUGAGCUGGGUUUAUGGUUCUCUCUCUAGUUAUAAUUUUCAAGGCCUAAAACUCUUUAGAGUUUUGUAAGGCCGUUUCCAGGAAAUGCUCUUAGCAAUUAUGUAGAGACAAGGCUUUUGUGGGAGGAAAUUCUUUAGAUUUCUCUCGAAAAGAAAUUUGGAAGACGAAACGGGGUCUCAUCAUACCCGAGUUUCAUCUUCAUAGUUUCUCUGCUAAAACUCUAGGUAGGCAGGUUUUGCUUGAUUCAUUUCAAACGUUCUCUCCCUUUUUUGUUUUCGUUUCAUCAUGUCUAUCUACGCUUUAUGGUAUUAUAUUGGUUAUUUUGUUUUGUUCAUUGGAAGAAUGGUGGUGAAAUUAUUCUUGAAGCCAUAGUUACUAAGACUCUUUUGAUUAUUCAGAGAUCUGUUGCUUCUUCGCUCACUGUAGUAUAAAUAUACUAUUAACUUACAAACUUAUCUUCUUGAAAAAUUAUGAUUUUUUUUAGUUGUCUGAACAGUUCUUGGGUCAAGUUUCAUUAAUUCUUGCUUAAGUUGACGUUGUAUGUUAGUGUUUGUUUUUCCAAGCUGCUAAAUUUAGGUAAGAUAUGUUAAUAAGUUCUGUCCUUUUAAAGAAAUGGUACAGUGUGAAGCUCUUUUUUAUUUCCUCGAAAAAAGGGGUUCUUUUCUUACUCGAAGUUAUGCAUGAGUCGCUUAUGAGGUUUAUUUUAACUCCCAACUCUAGUGUACGUCUCAUUGUUUACUUGUUCUUGCUUACGGAAAUCCUCACCAAUUUAGUGUUAAAACUUUUUUUUAUUAGUUUAUAUGUUUAUUUAUGUACUGAUGACAACCAUAGUUGCAUGACUUUACCCUAUUGCGCAUGUCCUUUUUCCUUGACUUUUCUACAUCUUGACCUACUGUUUGGUAUGUUAUUUUGGAUUACAAUAGUUCUCUUUUUAUCUAUGAAUUUGUUAUGUUAUUUAUCUAUAUGGUGUUCUGCACUUUGGAUGCAUAUUAAUCUCCUUAUUUCGUUCCUUCCAUGUGAAUCCGUUUUUGAGUCCCACAUGGACUCUCUCCCUUUUCCAUAUUCAUCAUGGGUUAUUGAUGUCCACUAUCUCUAUUGAGUCAACUCCGAGAUCAAGUCCAAAAGCCGAUUAUGAGGCAUACGGAUGUAAGGAGACGAAAGGAGAAGAAUGAGUUGAAGUCCAUCUUUGAAGCGGCCAAGGGACUUGAAAGUUUUGUUUUUUCAUUUAUUUGCUCAUUUAUUUAUUUAUUUAUUUUUAUUGUUGUCUUUGUUCAUUUAUUCAUUUAUUUAUUUCACUUAUUCAUUCAUUUGGGUCUCGAAGCCAAAGUUGUAAAUUUAAUACAGGUGGAGCGGAUUUUAGGUCAAUGGGCCUGAAAGGAUAGUUUAGGACAGGUUAUGGGCCGAAAGCCUAAUUAGAUUGGGACAGGGUUUAUCGAUUUGGGCCCAAGGGUCUAAACUCUUUACUUUAUCAUCCCUUUCCCCUUUUAUAUGUUUAUUUGCUUAUUCAUUUUGUUUAGACUUAGUUAAAAUCCCUACUAAAUUGCCUAAAUUCAUUUUACACAAGUCAUUUUCCAAAAGCAACCACUUUUCAACAAAUUAAUGUUUUUACAAGUUAAUCUAAAGAUGUUUUCAAACAGUUCGGACAACCACAAGUCUCGGUCCAUAGUUUAAGACUCCGUUCCCUAUAGCCUAGUCUAUAUCCACAGCUGACGUGACUCCGUAUCGGCGCCUUUCCCUUUGUAUAGUAUACGGUUAAGUGACUUCCUAACCUCAACUUAUAACGGACGUUUUAGGUGUCUAACAUCUUCCUAAAAUAUUAAUAGGAACCGCUUAUUCAGAAUCUCUAACUUAAACGAUUUUCUUAGUUUGAAUUGUUUGAAGUAAUUCUCUAAAGGUUUCUUAAUUUCUUUUCAAAAUUAAGUGGCGACUCUUUUAAAAAUAGUCAAAAUUUCUCCGCAAAACAGAAAUGGCGACUCUGCUGGGGACUUUGAAAUUAGGUUCUAACCAAAUGUUUGAUUUUAUCUUUUGAUUAACUAUUUAUGUGUUUAUGUGUUUCAAUUCUGUAAAGUUUAAUUAUCGCAUCUCAUGGCACAUUCCUGUAUUAUUUAAACUAUUUUAGGGUUUCGUUGAUAUCCCGACCCCUGUUGUUCAAUUCCAAAAUAUGUUGGAAAUACGAACGGUUUAUUAGCACGUGAGUCGUCUGGUGGGUGUUCGUAUUUUCAAACACAAGUUGUCGGCUUGAGAACCAGUGUUCAAACACACUCUAGACCACCUAGGAUAGAAUGAAACCAAAACCCUAUUUUAGGAAUGAUCCUAGGACGACCCAAUACCCGAGCAGGGUAUUGGGUCCAUUAGAAAAGCUGCCCUCCAUCUAUUGACCCUGAGUCAAUUACAGACGAAUCAUAUUUAUGUGUUGAAAAAAAUAUAUGCUUGUCUAAUCAAUCCAUUACCCUCUGGGGAUUGGGGAAGGCUUAUCUUUGCCUGUUUUCGUGUAGGAUAUGACUCAACUGCAUUCCCUCAAAAAGUUCAAGAUAGUUAUUAAACCCAGCAAUUUUUUGAAACUAUGGUGGGAUCACAUGAGCGCAGAAGAGAGAAAGACUGUUAGAACACACAUCGGGUAUCUGCCUUCUUUGACCGAGAUGGACGCUUGGCCUAUAAUGAUCCAUGUACUAACAACUUUUUGGGAUAAUCAGAAUAUGAUAUUUCACUUCGGGGAUGUUGAAUUGACUCCAACCAUUGAAGAGGUAUUGAUUUGUUACGAGAGUACUGAAAUGUGUUUUAAGAGAAGGGAGAAACCUGAUAAGAAUAUUUUAUUCCUAGUUGUAUGGUAUUGUCAAAAGAUCAAGGAGGUAUUUUUAACUGAUGAAGACACCUGGAUAAGAGAAUGUGAUGGAGCAAAUAUCACUUUUCGUGAGUUGUAUCGUUGGUUCGGAAGAUUCAAUGCUUUUUACAAAUUUGGACAUAAAUUUGAGUCAAAAGCAAAAUGGAAGGAGACGAGAGCCUUUGCAUUCGCGGUAGGCCUACUUGGAACCAUGGUGUUCCUAUAAGGGGAAAAUGACACAAUUCAUCCAAGGGUUGUCUCAGUAACCCAUGCACUCUUCUUUGGAAUGAAGUACAAUUCUAAAAAGGUAUUCCACAACUUAGCUCCCAUGAUUAUUGCCUACAUAUAUCGAGCUUUGGGAAGAUGUCAAGUCAAGAACUAUUUCUUUCAAGGCUGCAACCUUAUAUUGCAAUGGUGGAUGAUGAUGCAUUUGGUGAAAAACCCUAGAACGGUACAACCUGAUAACAAAACAAGAUAGAAUUUGCUAGAAUCGCACGAUAUGUGGUUGUUUUUACACAAGUUCAAAAGGGAAGCAUCUCAUGAAUUUUGGUUUAAGACUCUUGGAGAAUUAAGAGGUGACGAUGUGCAAUGGUUCAUUAACUAUCUUUGUUUAAGGAAAUACACUAUUCGAGGGGGUGAGUGAUCUUUUCUAGUGAUUCCAGGUCUCAGGAGAACCCGUCCCUACAAUCCUGGUAGAGUUCUUAGGCAAUUCGAGAUCAAGAAGGAGACACCUUAAAUCGAUUCUAUGCUCAGAUUCUUCACCGAGUAUGAUGAAAGCGAGCCCCCACGCAAAGACUACAUGAUAAAUGGAUGGAGAAGAAGAAGGUGGACGGAAGUCUCUUUUCGUAUAGGGUAUGAACCUAAAGUCAGGGACACUUACAAGGAGUGGUUAAAAAAGAGCCUUGUCGGAGCGUUAAUUCCGAGGCCGAACGUUCCCACUCGGGUCGUGGAUAUAGAAUCCGAGCAUCAGAUCCGAAUCCAUAGGCUUCAAGAUGAGUUUUAGAAAAGUGAAAUCGCACACCAAAAGAUGCAUGUAGAAGAUACUUUAACAAUACGCAUGUUGAGGAAAGAGUUGAAAAGAUCUAGGCAAGAGGCUAAUGAUGCUAGGCAGUGUUUAAUCAAUUUGGAUGAUAGCAUGGUCUCCCAACUCGAUAGUAUAGAAAAAUGACUUAUGACAGCAAGGCACAGUUAUGCGAGAGUCAUCUGAUCAUCAAUAGGUAUCAAAUAGCACAAGAGGUGAACAAGGUAAAGAAGGCAAAGACAGACGAAGGAGCCUCCGGUAGCUAGUUUUUCUAUUUUCACUGCGUGGGAACUUAUCUUCUUUCAUGUUAUUUCCUUAUCUUCUUUCAUGUUAUUUCCCUUUUUCCCUAAAGAUUGUAUCCCUCUUUUGUUAUUUUUAGUAGGCAUUUAUGCCCUUUUCGUGUCUAUAUAAGUUGGGGGAUAAUGGAUUGACUUUAAGGAAGCAUAUAUUUUCUUCAAAAUCGUUAGGCUUGAACCCUUGGCUCAAAAAGGGUCACCCCGGUUAGGAUAUGCAUUAUUAUAAUGUUUUGUGUAAUAUAAUUAUCUUAUGUGCUUAUGUGUGUGUUUUUUGGAUCAAAGGCAAGUUUAUCCGCUAUGCUCCUAUGGAUGAAUUUGGCUAUGACUCAAACAACUCUACGUGGUUAUUUCUUAUCGAAUAUUUUGCAUUACUUAUCACAUACAGAAACUAACACAUCUGCCUUUGAGUUGUUUUACUUUACAGAUAAUAGAAAACUACUCCAUGUUCAAAUAAGCUGGCAGAACAUCCCUACUUCACCCAGUCAAAAGCGCAUAAAAUCCCAUCCUCUGAUCAUCAUUCAAUAGUGACUGGAAAUGACGAAGAAAACACAUUGACCAUCAGGGACAGUGUAAUAGCAGAACAUUGACCAUCAGGGACAGUGUAAUAGCAGAACAGAGUGAGAUAAUUACGGAGCUUGCAAGAAAGUUAGAAAUGCUUCAGGAGGAAAUAAAUCGUACUCGAGAUUUGGCUAACCUAGCCAUCACUGUCAAUGCUCUCACUCCAGGAGGACACGAUACUCCACUCCAAAUUCCUUCCCUCAGUACGCCUAUUCUUGGGAAUCAGCUAAAUAACGCAUCAUCCAUCUCUUCUCCUCAAAUUGUCCAAAACACCAAUCACGAAAAUAACUCAGAUGUCUACCAUCCACGAAAUCCAUCUCUAACCCCACAAAACCUAUCUCUGAAUCUAUUCCCAAAUCCCCAAAACCCAUUUGCAAAUCAAUAAAAUUUGUUCCCAAAUCCGCAAGAUUCACUCCUAAAUCCACAAAAUCCACCACUAAAUCUUCCAUCGAAUCUAUCCCCGAAUCCACCAAAUUCGUUUCCAAAUUCGCAAAAUCCUUCUCAGAUGCCACCAAACUACUCUCAAAUUCCACAAAACCUUUCUAAUUUUCAAAAUGUCAUCCCCACAUACCAACCAACUUCCUUUCAUCUGCAAAAUCAAGCCUCCCUUCUAAAUCCUCCUCAUGCCAUCAUAUCCUCUGACAUCUAUAAUCCCUUUACUAAUCCCGAGAUGGACCAUUACGAGAAGAAGGAGAAAGAGUGGAGGACCAAGCUUGAAAUGAAGUUGCUAGCUAUGAAUGAAGAGAUCACGAGGAUAAAAAAUCACAUGGAGCAAGGGACCACGACGGUUUAAGGUACGAUAGUUUAUGUGUUUACCCUGGAGUAGAUCUACCAGAAGGGUAUAACGACCCUAAAUUUGAAUGUUCAAUGGCACCGAAAAUCCAAUGACCCAUCUGAGAAGGUAUUGUCAUCAAAUAGUGGGGGUAGGGAAAAAUAAAGCAUUAUUGAUGCGUUUGUUCAGCUGGAGUUUAAGUGGCAAAGACUUGGAAUGGUUCAUGUCUCAGGAACUGAAAAAAUGGACUGGUUGGAGAGCAUUGGCCGAGGGUUUUCUUGACAGGUUCGUAUUUAACAUUGAGAUAGUCCCUGAUCGAUACUCACUAUAUCGGAUCAAACAGAAGAAUAAUAAGUGUUUUCAAGACUACGCCUUUCGUUGGAGAAAAGAAGUUGCUAAAGUACAACCUCCUAUGUUGAGGAAGAAAUGGUAUUGGUUUUCUCUCUCGCCCCGGAAGGAUAAUUUUAUACCAGGAUGGUAUCCGUGGUCCGAGAAACUUUCGCAGAUUUAGUAAAGAUUGGGGAAUCGUUAGAGGAAGGUAUCCAAACAGGAAAAAUUGCCAAAACCCCAACAUCAUCUGAAUCUUCUGUAUUCUCAAAGAAGAAAAGAGAGGAUGCGACUGCAGUCUCUACUAAUUCCAUUGAUAAGUUAAAGAGGAAAUUCAAACCUAAGAAUGUUUUUUUCUCAUCAUCGUCACUAAGUUUUCAGCCUGUAUUCUACACUCAACCCCAAUGUCAAGCUUUAAUUCCAAAUAUUUUACCCCAGUGCCAAGUUCCACAGCUAAAUUAUCAGCCUCAUACUCAAGCUACUCUUCCAAAUGACCAAAUAGAUGUCCAAAUGUCUCCAAACUAUCAUUAAGUACCUCCUUCUAAUAAUCGAAAUCAGUAUAACCACCCACGUGUAAACCUUGAAAAGAAGCCUCCUAGAAAAUUCACUCCAUUAGCUGAAAGUCGUACCCAGCUUUUCGAAAGAUUGAUGAAAGUUGGUUAUUUGCAACCGAUCCAGCCAAAGACUAUCAAUCUCAACUCCCAAUUUUAUCAAGCCGAUCAAAAUUAUGCCUAUCAUUCAGGAGUAGCGGGCCACAUUACCGAGGAUUGUAUUAACUUAAAACAUAAGAUCCAAGAUUUGAUCGAUCAGAAGGUCAUCACGCUUCAAUCGCCGACACCAAAUAUUAUUAACAGUAAUCCAUUACCUAACCAUGGGGGACCUAUGGUUAACAUGAUUGAAAUAAAGGGUGAAUGGGCAUCUAGCAAGACCAUUAUUAAGGUAAAUUCAGAAGGACUCAAAAGAACAGAAAAGGUGGAGAAGAUAGAGAAAGUUGUGGCCACCUUAAGUAAGGAUUUGGAAGGAAUUAUUAAGCCUGUUAUGGUCCCAGAAAAAGCAUUUAAUCCUACAAUAGAUUAUCAACCAAUAAAGGAAGAUGAGAUCGAAGAUAAUUCAAAGGAUAGUCUGUUUAUGCCCUUGCCGCUCUUGUACCAAUCAUUUCUCAUACAUGAGAUGUCAAAUGAUGAUGGUCUUAGGGAUGGGAUAGGAGAUCUGUUUGAAGGAUGCAAUCAUAUACCAGAUGAUUUCCCAAAGUCCGGUGGGGUGAAAAAGAUUGCACUAGGGGAGGCCUUGCAAAACUGGACCUCCACUCCACUUAUAACCCAUCACCCAUCGUGGUAGAUGAAAGGGCAAUUACUAAUAGUUUUUAAAAUUGGUGAUGAUCUAGAGGAGGCCCCGUGAUCCACCCUUUUAUGUCUCAAAUUUUUAUUUCAUGUUUUACAACUUUCAAAAAGGCAUGGGCCCACAUUUGUGUGGGUCAUGAGCUAUAGUUUUAUUUAUUUUCCAAAAGGCCUCCCUUUAUUUAAGAAGUUAUUUUUUAAAAAUAUGAUUAUCUAGCAUGGUUUAUUUUGCUAGCAAUAAGUUAAAAACCUGCCAAUGUCAUGUCAUGUCAAGGGUUAGACGAACAAAGCAAAGAAAAUAAUGAUGAACAGAAAAAGGUGAUGAGGAAUAAUUAGUUAAAGGUAUAGAAGAAUGUGAAAAUCAAAAGAAGCCCAACCUGGAGAAGCCCUAAUCCUACCGGAGAUGGAUGGUUAAGAGUGGACUAAACCAAUCAAUUCUGAUGCACUAAAGAGAAUUGUGCUUGAAAGAUGUUAUAAUUUUUGUGUUUCCUUAGUUUACUUGUAAUCGCCUUUGUAAUAAUGUUGUUUUCUAGUGUGUAAUUGCCUAGAACCCCUUUCAUUUUAUGUACGAACUACAUUUGACUGGAAUUCCCAACAAAGGGAUACGUAGGCGGCCUAUGUCGGCUUCGAUCAACCCCUUACAAGAAUUUAUCCUUUUUUUUAUGUAUGAACUACGUGAUGACCUGAAUUCCCAGCAAAAGGGGUACGUAGGCAGCCUAUGUCUUCUUCGGUCAACCCAUUAGAUUUUUCUAUAUAUCCUUAGCAUAGUCCUGAACUACGUUUGACCUGAUUCCUGCUUCAACGGAAUAUGUAGGCGCAACCCUAGGAAAUGGAAACUGGGGCAGAAUUUUUGAGAAGGAAUCUUAAAAAUUCACAAGAGAGGAUCAACGUCCAUCAAAGAGAAUGAAGAUCAACAAAGACUUCAGAUCCACUCGAGAUGAGAUCAUCUUAGACUACUUUAAACUGGGGCAGAAAUUUGGAGGGAGGCCUUAAAAUUUUCACGAAGUACUGGAAUAUAUUUCAAAUUCCCCGACACCAGAGGUUAAAGCCAAGAUUUUGAAGCCACCAACUGCGACAAAGUCUAGGUAGAAUCAAUUUCUGGCUAUGACAGAACUAUUUGAAGAACCCUCCGACAAUGAUCAUGAGUUCUGGAAGUCAUCUGUCGGAUAUAGUCAAAGCCACGAGGAAGACGUUCGUUUAGAGAGUACACGACAUGGCUGACAGAGAUUUUCUAAAGCUUUUACAGAUACUUUCAAAACUAUUUGCUAAAAAAUAAGACUACUUUUGAAAAACAAAUCCUUACAAAUCUUUUACUUAGUGAUUACCUAGGCGGCUAUAGGAGCAGGGACCCAAGGUGGAGGUACCAAUGUAACCGGGCACCUGAAAGAUGGCAAGGAGAAAAUCAAGGAUCGAAGAAGGUUGACACUGAGUAGUUUUAUUCAAACUAAUCAUUUCUCUGUGGAUGCAGGGAUCGAUACACAAAAAUGAGCAUUUCUUUCAAAAAAUCCCCAAGCAAGUCGGGAGCCAUACCAGAGCAUAUAGUGCUUAGGAACGGUACUUUUGGUAACCUAAAAGCGGGCUCAACACCCAUUUAUCGAUGACCUUUUGAAUUUUCCAUCUCAUUUCUUGAAAUCAUGGAAGACAAACAAAGACGUCUUCUUUUCUUUACAAACAUUGUAUUUAGAAUUUUUCUCAAAAAAUGGUCGCUAGCAAAAAUGACUUUGUUUAUACUAAUUGUCUAUCUUGAGUACAGGUACAUGUAGAAAGCAAGACGCAGACAAACGAAAUCAGAUAAAACUAUUUUCAAAUCUCCAAGAUGGCCAUUCAUAUCAUUGCCAAGAGGGUCAUUGCAUAUCAUUGCCAAGAGAGCCAUUGCAUAUAAUUGCUAAGAGGGCAAUUUCAUAUCAUUACUAAGAAUGCCAUUUCAUAUUAUUGUCAAGAGGGUCAUUUAUAUUAUUUUCAAGAGGGUCAUUUCAUAUCAUUUUCGAGAGGGUUAUUUUAUAUCAUUGCCAAGAAGGCCAUUUCAUAUCAUUGCCAAGAAGGCCAUUUCAUAUCAUUGCCAAGAGGGCCAUUACAUAUCAUUGCCAAGAGAGCCAUUUCAUAUUAUUUCCAAGAGGGUCAUUUCAUAUUAUUGCCAAGAGGGCCAUUCAUAUCAUUGCCAAGAGGGCGAUUGCAUAUCAUUGCCAAGAGGGUCAUUUCAUAUAAUUGCCAAGAGGGUCAUUUCAUAUCAUUGCCAAGAGAGCCAUUGCCAAGAGGGCUAUUCAUAUCAUUGCCAAGAGGGCCAUUCAUAUCAUUGCCGAGAGGGCCAUUCAUAUUAUUUCCAAGAGGGCCAUUCAAUAUCUGUUGACACGUAAGACAUAAAAUGCUAGCGUCGAGGAUAUCAUCAGUAUUUUAUAUCUGUUGACAUGCAAGACAUAAAUGCUGGCGUCGAGGAUAUCAUCAUUAUUUAAUAUCUGUAAACACGCUAGAAAUAAACACUGGAGUCAAGGAUAUCUCAUCUUUUAUGAAUCAGCAUCUGAAUGUAUUGAGAGAACAUGAUUUGAAAGGACACCUUUAAGUCGCUAUCUGAAGACGAGCGAUUUACAGGAUUUCCUAGAAAUUGAUAAUUUGAGGGUCAUUUAUAAGUCAUAUUAUUUGAAAUAGGAUAGUGUGUAAGAUCACCUAUGAAUUGAUAGCUUGUAGGUUAUCCGUAAGCCACAAUAACAUCCUAAUCGGAUAGUGUGCAAGGUCACCCAAAAAUCUAUAGUUCAAAGGUUAUCCGUAAGUCGCAACUAAAUCCUUACCGGAGAAUAUGCAAGAGUAUCAAAUUGAUAAUGUCCAAGGGUUAUCUAUAAGCUGUGUCAUAUCCAAGAUCGAUUAUGUGCAGGAUUACCCAAAGACUUGCAAUUUGAGACAUAUCUGUAAGUCAUAUUAUAUCCAAGGUCGGAUGAUGUGCAGGAAUACCAGAGAGCUAAUGAUUGGAGGGAUAUCUGUAAGUCAUCUCUUAUCCAAGGUCGGAUAAUAUGCAGGAUUACCUAAAGGCUAGCAAUUCAAAGGAUAUCUGUAAGUCACCUUGUAUCCAACAUCAAAUAAUAUGCAAGAUUAUCCAAAGAUGGUCAAUUCAAGGGAAAGCUAUAAGUCGUAUCGAUACAAAGAUGCGCAAGACUUACCCAAGAUCAUAGGAAAAGAAUUAUUGUCAAUGAUCGAAAAGGUUAUCAUUACACAUGUGACAAGCAUUACAGGUAACCAAAGGGGUUGGCGGAUCAGCAUAAGACUAAACGGUUGCAGGGACCGUUCUGCAUAAAGGGUCAUUGGUGUCCAAAAGGUCACUCCACUUUGAAGACAUAUUCAUUCGAACAAAUGAGUUAGUUAUGCAACAACCAAAAGGGUGUUACUACUGUUAUCAUAAGUUAUUUCAUUCCAAAUAGGUACAUGAAAAGAUGACUCCGCUUUUCAGGCAAUAACCUAUAUGAAAAUAUGGUAAAAUACUAUACACUUCUUUCGUGAAUUAUGCUUAUGACUAAGGAUUUUGUUUGAGAUAUUGUCGAGAGAAUCCAAGAGGAUAAAAAUCUCAAAUCAAAACCAUAGGUGCGAAUGACUUCAGAUAGAAUACAGCACAAUAUGAAACUCUUUCUCAGCAGCAAAAUGGGACAUAGUCUAGAGAGGGAUGUCAAACUCUUUACACGCGAGCUAAAGGAUGAUCACCACCACCAUAUAACCACACCCCUAUUAGAAGGCAUGUGGGUAUUCUGGGAUAUUCUUGUUUCAACUUCACCUUCAGGAUAUUUCUAAACUUACAUCGAGGGUAGUCUUCCCUUCCUUCAAAUCCGGGUGAUAACAUAUCUAGAGUUUUGGAAAUUAUGUCCAGGUAAGUUCUUUUCUAUGGAUGUGAAAGAUUCCACAUUCAUGGUUAAUAGGUUACAAUCCUCUUUUCCAUAACUUAAUCAUUAACUUGUCACUCAUCCCGAGCUGAAGAUCGUUUAAAAUAAAAGACUAUUUUUUCUACCUAUCGAGUCGAACUACAAACAAUCUGAUUCCCUAAAAUCUUGGGGAUAUGUAGGCCAAGAUCUAUGUAGAAAACUCGACUGCAUUCCAACCUCCUCCAAAUCCCUUUAUUCUCCAGCUUCUCGGUUUAACUAAAAACUCUAAAAUCGUGAUAGUUGGUGAAUUUUCUUGAAAAUCAUGCUUAAAAUCAAGCUUUAUGAACUACAAAUGGCCUGAAUUCUCAUGAAACUUGAGAUAUGUAGGAAACCUGAUAUCGAGGUUCGGCCAUAGCUCCAUGAAACUCGUGCGGAAAAUCAGCCUCUUUCAAAUUCGAAUUUGUGGUCGGACAAAAAUUAGGAAUGUCAACCUCCCUUUGCCCAGAGUUACUUGCAUCCACCCUAUCCAAAGGGAGGAGGCAGUUGUUGACACCUAUUUUUUUCCCUCCACGGCUAAAUUUGAUAUUGAGUUUCUUCGACUACAAAUAUAAUUACAAUAUUUAUUUUAUCCGAAUAAAGGAUUUUUAAAGUAUUUACUUGGAUAAAUUUUUCUCUCAAAAAUAAUUUAUUUGGAUAAAUGUUUGUUUAAUUUUACCAAAUCAAGAAGCUCAAGAUUAAAUAAGGCACUAAUUUGUAUUGAAUUUUGAUUUGAUUUAGUCAAUUUAUUAAAUUUGACUCUAAUUAAAAUCAAAUUAGCCCCAAUUGUGAUGCAAUUGACCAAUUGGUAUUCAAAUUGGCUAGAAUUUAAAGUUAAUUGCCUAAAUUGUAAUCCAAAAUCCUAACCCUAAUCCUCAAAACACUCCAUCCCAAUUUAAACCAAUAACUUGCCCAGGCCCAUCUAUUCACCAAUAAUUAACCCAUACAAUUUAAAAUACAACAGUCCUUUCCUUCUUUUUAAAAGAUUCGAUCCAGAAGCCCAAAAUUCCUUUAUCCGGCCCAAUCUCCCUUAUUUCUCCCCCCUUCUCCUCCAAAGCAGCAAAGCUGCGUAUAAAUAAGAAUAAAUUCUCAACCAGCCACAACAUCGGCAACAACCCAUACCCAAUCCGAACUUCACAAAUCCAUGAAACUUUAACUCGAUAAUCUUGCAAAACACACCUCAUUUCCCUUCCUCUCUUCGAUUGUACUCCUCACGUGAUUGGCAUACAGUUUUUGUACCAUGGGAAGUCCAGGAUUCCUUUAGAAAAUGUGUAGGUAUCCGUUCCAAUGGCUAGAUGCCGAGAAUUUUGGGUUGAAUGGUACAAAAUCAUACAUACUUGCCCGAUUCUCAUUGGUGGGUGAGAGAAAUUUCAUCCCUUAAUCUCUAUUGGUUGGCCUAUUUUGGAUUUCAUGAAGAAAAUCCAAAAUCUGCACAUUAGUGGAUGAGGGAUCUAAGUUGUAGAAGAAAUUCAAAUUCCAAAUUUUUUCUUCCUAAAAUACCCAAAUACUAUUUUCUAUAUAAGAGGCGAUGGGACACUGUUUAGGGGGAUUGUAGAUUCUAGAGUUGAAAAUUAGGGUUGGAAUAAUUUUCGGGAAAAAGGAGAAAAUCCGGGUAGCUAAGAGUUCUUUCUCAUGGUAAAAAUUUCUCUUUUCUUUCUUCUUUUGAAAGUGAGUUCAAAAUUUUGGGUCUGAAAAGAGGGAAAAAAUUCUCAAAAAGGCAGAAACACAAGGAAAUUUCGGUUUAGAAAAACUGAGAGAGAAGGAAGAAAGGAAAAAAAAGAAAUUUUUGGAGAAAAAUUAAGUCUUUAUUAGAAAUCCUGUUCUUGUUUUGAAAGUUCGUCAGCUAAAUUAGAGUCUCGAGUUGAUGGUAAGGAAGUUUUUCGGUGGUCGUGAUCUCUAUACCGCAUCGUCGUCUCAUUUUACUGCACUCAAAAAGGUAAAUACACUCUAUGUUCCCUUUAAUUUGACCGCUGUUCUUCUUCAUCUCUUUUUCUUCGUAGCUGAUGUAGUCAUAGCUGUUCUUCUUCAUUUCUUUUUCUUCGUAGCUAAUGUAGUUGUAGUAGUAAUCUUGUUCUGCUGGGAGUAGCUGAUGUAGUCAUAUUCGUGAUUUUGUAUGCUGGGUUUGGCUGCUGAUGUACGAAAUGUUUGUCAUGUGAUUAUGUUUGAUGUUAAACUCCUAGUUUAGUAGCUAAAAUUUUUAGUUUUCAGUCUUAUUUGCACGUCUCAAUUUCAUAAUUUGUUAUCUGAUUUCGACAUCGCUAAUUAGCUUCCGAUUUGCUGCUUCGUAUUGUAUAUUGCUUAUAAGUUGAACUUAUUGAUUUCCAUCGAGGUUCCUAUUUUAAUUUCUCGCUUCACUGGCUUGCUGAAUGUUGUUUUGUUUGAAUUAUUGUCUUUCUAUUUAGCUAGUAAUAUCACUAGCAGGACUACUUUACGAGUUCCUUUGGCUUCUCAAAUGCCAAAGAGAAUGACCAAAAUAUUUCCAAUAAUGAAAUGUACUACAAAAUCCUAGGGUCCUCAAUGACCAUUUCGUUUGAAUGAGGAGGAGGACCAUACUGAUAUGUUGACUCGUUCAUUGUUACUAUUUGACAGUCUUAGAUCAUUGUUUUCUAUUUAAACCGGUAACACCACCAGCUGGACUGCCUUGAGAGUUCCUCUGACUUUUUCAAUGCCAAAGGGAAUAAUGAGAUAUGCCCAAUAGCGUACCCAAAAUCUUAUAAUUCUUUGAUGACUAUUUUGACUGUUAAAGAACUCAUUUUUUGAGUUUGUCAAAAAGAGGAGAAGGAUAAAAUAGUAUGCCCUGCCAGCUCCUUUUUUUAAAAAAGGAAACAUCCUUGUAAGGUUCCCUCUGUUGUGGAAUUGCAAAGUUUGAGUCUUUCAUUUCUCUUUUGAUUUCGUUUUAAGACGAUGUUCCCAAGGAAAUGCAAUGGCUUUAUUGUAAAAGAGAAUGUAUAAGGUCUCUUUGAUGUUGAAAAUCAUUACAUUGUGUGCAUUCUCUUUGAAAUAGGUUUGUGGUUCUCUCUCUAGUUAUAAUUUUCAAGGCCUAAAACUCUUUAGAGUUUUGUAAGGCCGUUUUCAGGAAAUGCUCUUAGCAAUUAUGUAGAGACAAGGCUUUUGUGGGAGGAAAUUCUUUAGAUUUCUCUCGAAAAGAAAUUUGGAAGACGAAAUGGGGUCUCAUCAUACCCGAUUUUCAUCUUCAUAGUUUCUCUGCCAAAAAUCUAAGUAGGCAGGUUUUGCUUGAUUCAUUUCAAACGUUCUCUCCCUUUUUUGUUUUCGUUUCAUCUUGUCUGUCUACGCUUUAUGGUAUUAUAUUGGUUAUUUUGUUUUGUUCAUUGGAAGAAUGGUGGUGAAAUUAUUCUUGAAGCCAUAGUUACUAAGCCUCUUUUGAUUGUUCAUAGAUCUGUUGCUUCUUCUCUCACUUGUAGUAUAAAUAUACUAUUAACUUACAAACUUAUCUUCUUGAAAAGUUGUGAUUUUUUUAGUUGUUUGAAUAGUUCUUGGGUCAAGUUUCUUUAAUUCUUGCUUAAGUUGACGUUGUAUGUUAGUGUUUGUUUUUCCAAGCUACUAAAUUUAGGUAAGAUAUGUUAAUAAGUUCUGUCCUUUUAAAGAAAUGGUACAGUGUGGAACUCUAUUUUAUUUCCUCGAAAAGAGGGGUUCUUUUCUUACAUGACGUUAUGCAUGAGUCACUUAUGAGGUUUAUUUUAACUCCCAACUCUAGUGUAUGUCUCAUUGUUUACUUGUUCUUGCUUACGGAAAUCCUCACCAAUUUAGUGUUAAAACUUUUUUUUAUUAGUUUAUAUGUUUAUUUAUGUACUGAUGACAACCAUAGUUGCAUAACUUUACUCUAUUGAGCAUGCCCUUUUUCCUUGAUUUUUCUACAUCUUGACCUACUGUUUGGUAUGUUAUUUUGGAUUACAAUAGUUCUCUUUUUAUCUAUGAAUUUGUUAUGUUAUUUAUCUAUAUGGUGUUCUGCACUUUGGAUGCAUAUUAAUCUCCUUAUUUCGUUCCUUGCAUGUGAAUCCGUUUUUGAGUCAUACAUGGACUCUCUCCCUUUUACAUAUUCAUCAUGGGUUAUUGAUGCCCACUAUCUCUAUCUAGUCAACUCUGAGACCAAGUCCAAAAGCCGAUUAUGAGGUGUACGGAUGUAAGGAGACAAAAGGAGAAGAAUGAGUUGAAGUCCAUCUUUGAAGCGGCCAAGGGACUUGAAAGUCUCAUUUUUUCAUUUAUUUGUUCAUUUAUUUAUUUAUGCAUUUUUAUUGUUGUCUUUGUUCGUUUAUUCAUUUUUUUAUUUCGCUUAUUCAUUCAUUUGGGUCUCGAAGCCAAAUUUGUAAAUUUAAUACAGGUGGAGCGGAUUUUGGGCCAACGGGCCUGAAAGAAUAGUUUAGGACAAGUUAUGGGCCGAAAGCCUUACUAGAUUGGGACAUGGUUUAUCGAUUUGGGACCAAGGGUCUAAACUCUUUACUUUCUCAUCCUUUUCCCCUUUUAUGUGUUUAUUUGCUUAUUCAUUUUGUUUAGACUUAGUUAAAAUCCCUACUAAAUCGCCUAAAUCCAUUUUACACAAGUCAUUUUCCAAAAGCAACCACUUUUCAACAAAUUAAUCUUUUUACAAGUUAAUCAAAAGAUUUUUUCAAACAGUUCGGAUAACUGCAAGUUAGCGAACGUUUUAGGUGCCUAACACCUUCCUAAAAUGUUUAUAGAAACCGCUUAUUCAGAAUCUCUAACUUAAACAAUUUUCCUGUUUUGAAUCGUUUGAAGUAAUUCUCUAAAAGUUUCUUAAUUCCUUUUCAAAAUUAAGUGGUGACUCUUUUCAAAAAAGUCAAAAUUUCUCCGUAAAAUAAUAGUUUGGGGGUAUAUUUGUUUCUUUUUUAUUUUUAUUUUUUAUUUUAAAUUAUUAAUCCAAACCCUCUAAUAAACGCGUUAUUAUCAUCUCUAUAACGAUAUAUACACACAACACAGUAACAAUUACUACUAUCAAUUUAAAAAAGAAUUCAUUAACCGGUAACACCCAAAAACAACACCAAAUAAAUUGAACCCCUCACGUUUCAAUUUUCAGCGAAAUUCUAUCGGAAAAAUACUACCCACCAUCGGUCAACACCACAUAGGCACCCUUUCUGUCGAAUCGAAAACACCCCACUGGCGAACCAUCGUCACGGCCCUUGCUCCGGCCACCUCCGGCCUAAUCUCCACUUCCUCCAACCAGUAAACACCAACUAGCAGCAACGAUCAAUUCCUGCAAUUUGAUGAGAUUCACGUUUAAGAGAAAAAUAGAGAGAGUAUCAAAUUUGAAAUAAAAAAUAAAGGUCGGAUUGAGUUGGUAUGAAAUUAGAUUGGAUGGGUUUAUUGGCUCAGAAAGUGGAUUAGGUUUAAUUAUUAGGGAUUAAAAAUUAAAACAAAAAAAGAACAAAUAUACCCCCGAACUAUGAUAAAUUAUAUGUAUAUACCCUUUGUUAUACUUUAAGGUACACUUAUGCCCCUACCGUUAGUGUGAGGGGCAUAUAUGUACCAUUUCAUUAAGAGUAGGGGGCAUAUGUGUACUCCAAAUAUGAUGGAGGGUAUAUAUGUAUCAUUUAUCAUAGUUCGAGGAUACAUUUAUCCUUUUUCGUAAAAUUAGUUAGCUAAAGAAGACGUUAGUAUUUAUUUUAUAU
rnacentral:lncRNA from 1 species